UCUGAUGACGUUGCUGGAUACUGGAGCGAUGAUGUCACCACGACGGUGGAUGUUGGGGUGUGGGGGAGUCAGGAACCCAACACGUCGACGGGAACCUGUGCCUAUUUGAAGAAGACGUCCAGCGGGUGGAUUUGGCACAUCGCCAACUGUGAGACUUUGAUGCCGUUUGUCUGCGAGGCUCAGCCUUGUCCCUCGGAUUCGUUCCGUUGUGAUAAUGGAAACUGUGUUGGGAAGACUCACGUGUGUGAUGACGAAAACAACUGCGGAGACAACUCGGAUGAACGUGACUGCGCGUCGCGCUGCCAGUACUACCACAUGGACAAGGAGGGGGUAAUCAUCCACCCCCAGGACCAGGUCCAGUACUCAGACCGCACCUCCUG